rnacentral:lncRNA from 1 species
GGAGCCUCCAAGACUGAACUAGCUCUGUGAGGCUCCUCCAAAUCCUCCCAGAGACUAGCCAGCCUACCCUGCCAGGGUUGCCGAUGAGCACCCCGAAGCCUGCAGUCCCUCUUGCCUCUGACCGUCUUUCACUCCCCUCCGGCUCUCUCUACCUCUCCAGGGCCAGGCUUUGGAGAUGAUGAUCUUAGGCCCACCCAAGACAAGAAGCCCUGAGGCUGCUAGAGAGAGGAGAGGGCUCUGAGCUGUGCACCUGGCCCUGAGGGACCCAGGCAUCCCCGGUCCCUGGGAGCUCCCAGAUACAUGUACACCCAGGGAAGAACGAGUGACACACAUUAAGGGCUCAGCCACAAAGGUAAAAAGCCUGUGAGAGCAUCCAGUCCAUCCCGGACAUUCUCAGAAAUACAAGCAAGGAACACAGCAUGGAGCCCAGCACCAGGAGAAUCUUGGAAUUUUGCCCCUCUCUUACUGCUGUGUCUAAACUUUUGUAGGUAUGAAACACAUUUAGAAAGCUUUUUAAAUGUCAUUUUAUGAUAAUUUUAGCAAAGGUUUCGGUUGCUACUAAUUUCAAUUGAUUUUCCUCAUUACAGGUCCUACUUCCUGCUUCUUUGUGUGAUUGGGAGUCUUUGAUUGACAGAAAUUAUGAAUUUUACCUCUUGGUUGUCAGAUAUCUUUUAUUCUAUAAAUAAAAUAUCUUUGGAACUUUGUUCUGGGAUGUACA